rnacentral:rRNA from 1 species
GACGAACGCUGGCGGCGUGCUUAACACAUGCAAGUCGAACGGUGACCCAGGGCUUGCCCUGGUGAUCAGUGGCGAACGGGUGAGUAACACGUGGGCAACCUGCCCCUGACUUCGGGAUAACUCCUCGAAAGAGGAGCUAAUACCGGAUACGACCACUUCGGACAUCCGAUGGUGGUGGAAAGUUUUUCGGUCAGGGAUGGGCCGCGGCCUAUCAGCUAGUUGGUGGGGUAAUGGCCUACCAAGGCGACGACGGGUAGCCGGCCUGAGAGGGCGACCGGCCACACUGGGACUGAGACACGGCCCAGACUCCUACGGGAGGCAGCAGUGGGGAAUAUUGCGCAAUGGGCGAAAGCCUGACGCAGCGACGCCGCGUGAGGGAUGAAGGCUCGGUUGUAACGUACUUCUAGCAGGACGAAGCGAAAGUAGACGGUACCGUACG